CAGCCUGCACAUGUCGACAGCAAGAAGGCAGAGGCUCACAAAAUGGGGGGAGAAACUGCACCAGCACCACUGACAGAUAAAGAGGAGAG